rnacentral:rRNA from 1 species
CCCCUAGAUGUUCUGGGCUGCACGCGCGCUACAAUAAUACGCACAGCGAGUAUCACCGAGCUCGAAAGGGCAAGGUAAACAAUAGAAAAGGUACUGUAAUGGUUAUAGAUCCUUGUAAUUAUUGAUCUUCAACGAGGAAUUCCUAGUAAGUAUGUGUCAUCAUCACGCACUGAUUACGUCCCUGCCCUUUGUACACACCGCCCGUCGCUCCUACCGAUUGGGUGAGCCGAUGAAACUCUCGGAUGUAGGCUAUUCAUAGCCCGCAGAAGAGAUUUGAAUCGUAGCGCUUAGAGGAAGGAGAAGUCGUAACA